rnacentral:rRNA from 1 species
UACGUAGGUGGCAAGCGUUGUUCGGAAUUACUGGGCGUAAAGGGCGCGUAGGCGGCCUGUUAAGUCGAACGUGAAAUCCCCGGGCUCAACCCGGGAACUGCGUCCGAUACUGGCAGGCUUGAAUCCGGGAGAGGGAUGCGGAAUUCCAGGUGUAGCGGUGAAAUGCGUAGAUAUCUGGAGGAACACCGGUGGCGAAGGCGGCAUCCUGGACCGGCAUUGACGCUGAGGCGCGAAAGCCAGGGGAGCAAAGCGGG